UUAAAUUGAAGAGUUUGAUCAUGGCUCAGAUUGAACGCUGGCGGCAGGCCUAACACAUGCAAGUCGAACGGUAACAGAAAGCAGCUUGCUGCUUUGCUGACGAGUGGCGGACGGGUGAGUAAUGUCUGGGAAACUGCCUGAUGGAGGGGGAUAACUACUGGAAACGGUAGCUAAUACCGCAUAACGUCGCAAGACCAAAGAGGGGGACCUUCGGGCCUCUUGCCAUCGGAUGUGCCCAGAUGGGAUUAGCUAGUAGGUGGGGUAACGGCUCACCUAGGCGACGAUCCCUAGCUGGUCUGAGAGGAUGACCAGCCACACUGGAACUGAGACACGGUCCAGACUCCUACGGGAGGCA
rnacentral:rRNA from 1 species